ACGCUGGCGGCAGGCCUAACACAUGCAAGUCGAACGGUAACAGGAAGCAGCUUGCUGCUUCGCUGACGAGUGGCGGACGGGUGAGUAAUGUCUGGGAAACUGCCUGAUGGAGGGGGAUAACUACUGGAAACGGUAGCUAAUACCGCAUAACGUCGCAAGACCAAAGAGGGGGACCUUCGGGCCUCUUGCCAUCGGAUGUGCCCAGAUGGGAUUAGCUAGUAGGUGGGGUAACGGCUCACCUAGGCGACGAUCCCUAGCUGGUCUGAGAGGAUGACCAGCCACACUGGAACUGAGACACGGUCCAGACUCCUACGGGAGGCAGCAGUGGGGAAUAUUGCACAAUGGGCGCAAGCCUGAUGCAGCCAUGCCGCGUGUAUGAAGAAGGCCUUCGGGUUGUAAAGUACUUUCAGCGGGGAGGAAGGCGAUAAGGUUAAUAACCUUGUCGAUUGACGUUACCCGCAGAAGAAGCACCGGCUAACUCCGUGCCAGCAGCCGCGGUAAUACGGAGGGUGCAAGCGUUAAUCGGAAUUACUGGGCGUAAAGCGCACGCAGGCGGUCUGUCAAGUCGGAUGUGAAAUCCCCGGGCUCAACCUGGGAACUGCAUUCGAAACUGGCAGGCUAGAGUCUUGUAGAGGGGGGUAGAAUUCCAGGUGUAGCGGUGAAAUGCGUAGAGAUCUGGAGGAAUACCGGUGGCGAAGGCGGCCCCCUGGACAAAGACUGACGCUCAGGUGCGAA
rnacentral:rRNA from 1 species